rnacentral:tRNA from 1 species
CGGGGUGUGGCUCAGCUUGGCUAGAGCGCCUGAUUUGGGAUCAGGAGGUCGCAGGUUCG